UCAUCUCCGGGGGUAGAGCACUGUUUCGGCUAGGGGGCCAUCCCGGCUUACCAACCCGAUGCAAACUGCGAAUACCGGAGAAUGUUAUCACGGGAGACACACGGCGGGUGCUAACGUCCGUCGUGAAGAGGGAAACAACCCAGACCGCCAGCUAAGGUCCCAAAGUCAUGGUUAAGUGGGAAACGAUGUGGGAAGGCCCAGACAGCCAGGAUGUUGGCUUAGAAGCAGCCAUCAUUUAAAGAAAGCGUAAUAGCUCACUGGUCGAGUCGGCCUGCGCGGAAGAUGUAACGGGGCUAAACCAUGCACCGAAGCUGCGGCAGCGACGUUUAUGCGUUGUUGGGUAGGGGAGCGUUCUGUAAGCCUGUGAAGGUGGCCUGUGAGGGUUGCUGGAGGUAUCAGAAGUGCGAAUGCUGACAUAAGUAACGAUAAAGCGGGUGAAAAGCCCGCUCGCCGGAAGACCAAGGGUUCCUGUCCAACGUUAAUCGGGGCAGGGUGAGUCGACCCCUAAGGCGAGGCCGAAAGGCGUAGUCGAUGGGAAACGGGUUAAUAUUCCCGUACUUGGUGUUACUGCGAAGGGGGGACGGAGAAGGCUAUGUUGGCCGGGCGACGGUUGUCCCGGUUUAAGCGUGUAGGUGUGUGUUCCAGGUAAAUCCGGUUCACUUUAACACUGAGGCGUGAUGACGAGGCACUACGGUGCUGAAGCAACAAAUGCCCUGCUUCCAGGAAAAGCCUCUAAGCAUCAGGUAACAUCAAAUCGUACCCCAAACCGACACAGGUGGUCAGGUAGAGAAUACCAAGGCGCUUGAGAGAACUCGGGUGAAGGAACUAGGCAAAAUGGUGCCGUAACUUCGGGAGAAGGCACGCUGACACGUAGGUGAAGUGAUUUACUCAUGGAGCUGAAGUCAGUCGAAGAUACCAGCUGGCUGCAACUGUUUAUUAAAAACACAGCACUGUGCAAACACGAAAGUGGACGUAUACAGUGUGACGCCUGCCCGGUGCCGGAAGGUUAAUUGAUGGGGUCAGCGCAAGCGAAGCUCCUGAUCGAAGCCCCGGUAAACGGCGGCCGUAACUAUAACGGUCCUAAGUAGCGAAAUUCCUUGUCGGGUAAGUUCGACUGCACGAAUGGCGUAAUGAUGGCCAGGCUGUCUCCACCCGAGACUCAGUGAAAUU
rnacentral:rRNA from 1 species